AUUUCUUCGGAAUGAAACCAGAUAUGACUUAGUGGCGGACGGGUGGAGUAACACGUGAGCAACCUGCCUUUCAAGGGGGGAUAACGGGCUGGAAACGGUCGCUAAUACCGCAUGAUGUGUUCGGAUGGCAUCAUUUGAACAUCAAAGAUUUAUCGCUGAAAGAUGGGCUCGCGUCUGAUUAGAUAGUUGGUGGGGUAACGGCCCACCAAGGCGACGAUCAGUAGGGGUUUUGAGAGGAAGGUCCCCCCACAUUGGAACUGAGACACGGUCCAAACUCC
rnacentral:rRNA from 1 species